UACGUAGGUGGCAAGCGUUGUCCGGAAUUAUUGGGCGUAAAGGCGCGCGCAGGCGGCUUCUUAAGUUCUGAUGUGAAAUCGUCGGGGCUCAAACCCCGGAGCGGCCAUUGGAAACUGGGAAGCUUGAGUACAGAAGAGGAGAGUGGGAAUUCCGACGUGUAGCGGUGAAAUGCGUAGAUAUGUGGAGGAACACCAGUGGCGAAGGCGACUCUCUGGUCUGUAACUGACGCUGAGGCGCGAAAGCGUGGGGAGCAAACAGG
rnacentral:rRNA from 1 species